rnacentral:rRNA from 1 species
UACAGAGGGGGCAAGCGUUGUUCGGAAUUACUGGGCGUAAAGGGCGCGUAGGCGGCCACCGCAAGUCGGUUGUGAAAUCUCCGGGCUUAACCCGGAAAGGUCAAUCGAUACUGCGGGGCUAGAGUGCAGAAGGGGCAACUGGAAUUCUCGGUGUAGCGGUGAAAUGCGUAGAUAUCAGGAGGAACACCGGUGGCGAAGGCGGGUCUCUGGGCCGAUACUGACGCUGAGGAGCGAAAGCGUGGGGAGCGAACAGG